AUUUCAAGGCCUGAUGAUCUAGUUUUCCUCUUUAAUGGGAAUGAAUAUGAAUAAAAGUAACACAUUUGAAUAUUUGAGAGAUCAUAUGAUUUUCAACACUUACUAUUGGGUAAAACUGUUGAAGUGUUUCUAGAGAACUUUAAAAUCAAGAACAUUUAUGGGUAGACGAUUAAUAACAUAAGUACUAAUAAGGAUGAUUUCACCACAGUAUUGUUUUCAGAUGUUGUUUAGAAUAAGAAAAGUUCUAGUGGUGGUUAAAAGGUGAUUAUUCAUGUGUUAUAUUGUUUUAU
rnacentral:lncRNA from 1 species